ACAGCCCUUAGAUGACGAUGGUAUAUGGUUUGAAUGCAAUGUGCCCUUUCGAGUAAAUAUUCCCUUUCCUAUUAGCAUGAAGAAUCUAUUUGGUUCGCAGUUGUUUCAAGGCA
rnacentral:sRNA from 1 species